GAACACUUCUCCCAGCGUCCUGGGCUCCGCGAGCACAAUUUUAAAACCAGCGGUGAAAUCCGAUCCUUCCGCGGUGGAGCGCGGCCGCAGCUCCGAGCGCCAUCUCAGACUCCACCGGCUUCUGCACCGCGAGUCAACCCGGGUCGGCCCUCGGGGCUGGGCAAGCGGGCGCCGCGCGGAGUUUCUGCCCCUCCCGCGCGGAACGGUGGUCGCCGCCGCGCGAACCGGAGGGGGUUAACCGUGGCCGGGCGCGCGUGAGGCUCCGGAGCACGAGCCCGGCGCAGCCUGCGUGGGUGCACAGGGGCGCGCGGGAGCUGGGAUGGAGGACGUCUUGGCCGGGCCCCUGCACAGGGCGGCGGCGGAGGCGGCCGAGGCGUGAGCGCGGCCCGGGGUGACGCUGCUGCCCUUAGCGCCCCUCUCAGGGACUGCGGAGGCGGACGAGGGCGGCGGCCACUGGAGCUUCAUUGACUGCGAGAUGGAGGAGGCGGACCUGCAGGACCUGCCCAGCGCCACCAUCGCCUGCCACCCGGACCCGCCCGUGUUUGUGGACGGCCUGUGCCGGGCCAAAUUUGAGUUUCUCUUUAGGACAUAAGGCAAGGACAUCGCUUUUCAGUAUUUUAAGAGUUUCAAAAGAGUCAGAAUAAACUUCAGCAACCCCUUCUCCGCAGCAGAUGUCAGGCUCCAGCUGCAUAAGACUGAGUUUCUGGGAAAGGAAAUGAAGUUACAUUUUGCUCAGACCUUACACAUAGGAAGCUCACACCUGGCUCCGCCAAACCCCGACAAGCAGUUUCUGAUCUCCCUUGUUUCUGAUCUCCCCUCCCGCCUCUCCGCCAGUGGGGUGGAAACAAGUGGAAGACGCAACCCCAGUCAUAAACUAUGAUCUCUUAUAUGCUAUCUCCAAGCUGGGUCCAGGGGAAAAAGUAUGAAUUGCACGCAGCGACUGACACCACUCCCAGCGCGGUAGUCCACGUAUGUGAGAGCGAUGAAGAGGAGGAGGAAGAAGAGGAGAUGGAGAGAAUGAAGAGACCCAAGCCAAAAAUUAUCCAGACCAGGCAGCCGGAGUACACGCCGAUCCACCUCAGCUGAACUGGCACGUGACGAGGAUGCAUUCCAAAUCAUACUCAUGGGAGGAAUCUUACUGUGGAGGUGGCUGGUCACGACUUCUUCGGAGGUGGGAGCCGAGAUCGGGGUGGCAGAAAUCCCAGUUCAUGUUUCUCAGAAGAGAAUAAAAGCCAUGUCCCCUUGUUCUAAUGCUGCACACCAGUGACUGUUCAUGGCACCCGGAAAUGGCUUUGGCCAAUCCCCAAGUCUGUGGUGAUUGCACAAGGACAUUUGGGACUGUCUUGAGACAACUGAUCAUGAUAGUAUUUUGUACUUGUUCUUCUCUGGUAGGUUCUGUCUGUGCAAAGGGCAGGCUGGUCAGUGGGUUCAGGAGAGAGCUUCCUGUUUCUAAGCAGCCCGCAGGGUCCACUCUCUACUGGUAGAAAGAGGUACCACAGGAAGCCACCUAGUGCAGAGAGGUCGUGAAAACAGCAGCAAUGCAGCGUGAAAAUUGUCGCGUUUCCUUUCUUCCCUCAUGUUCUCAUGUUUGUGCAUGUAUAUUACUGAUUUUCAAAACUAACCUUUGUUCGUAUAUGAAGUUACACCCUUGUUUUACAUCUUUUUGGAAGCGAGGAAAGCAUCUGGAAAACUUAUCAUCUUUCCCAGAUUCUCGGAUUCUCGACGCUCUUUGCAACAGCACUCGCUGGUGGAACUCUUCCUGGAAUACAUUCACUCGGUGUCCUAAACUGUGCAACACGUAACCUGUACUUCUGCAAAAGCAGUUGAUCUGAAGUUCCUCUGUAGUGUUUAGCUUAUACAAUUCAGAGAAUAGCAGUUUCACUGCCAACUGGUAGUGGGUGAGACAUUUUAGUUUCGGUGUUUGGAGUCGGACAUCAGUUUCUGUUAUUUCUUUGAUGUGGUGGUUUCUAUACACGAAUCUUUUCCAACAAAAACUUUUUUGGAAACUGUUGGUUGAGAUAGUUGGGUAUUUUUACCACACUGAGACAUCGAGAAAAAACUUGUAAAUAAAGCUGAUAGCAUAUAUUCA